rnacentral:rRNA from 1 species
CAGUCGAACGGACUUACAUUGAAGCCUAGCGAUAUGUAAGUUAGUGGCGGACGGGUGAGUAACGCGUGGGUAACCUGCCUUGUACUGGGGGACAACAGUUGGAAACGACUGCUAAUACCGCAUAAGCGCACAGCUUCGCAUGAAGCAGUGUGAAAAACUCCGGUGGUACAAGAUGGACCCGCGUCUGAUUAGCUGGUUGGUGAGGUAACGGCCCACCAAGGCGACGAUCAGUAGCCGGCCUGAGAGGGUGAACGGCCACAUUGGGACUGAGACACGGCCCAAACUCCUACGGGAGGCAGCAGUGGGGAAUAUUGCACAAUGGGGGAAACCCUGAUGCAGCAACGCCGCGUGAGUGAAGAAGUAUUUCGGUAUGUAAAGCUCUAUCAGCAGGAAAGAAAAUGACGGUACCUGACUAAGAAGCCCCGGCUAACUACGUGCCAGCAGCCGCGGUAAUACGUAGGGGGCAAGCGUUAUCCGGAUUUACUGGGUGUAAAGGGAGCGUAGACGGUUUUGCAAGUCUGAAGUGAAAGCCCGGGGCUUAACCCCGGGACUGCUUUGGAAACUGUAGGACUAGAGUGCAGGAGAGGUAAGUGGAAUUCCUAGUGUAGCGGUGAAAUGCGUAGAUAUUAGGAGGAACACCAGUGGCGAAGGCGGCUUACUGGACUGUAACUGACGUUGAGGCUCGAAAGCGUGGGGAGCAAACAGGAUUAGAUACCCUGGUAGUCCACGCCG